GGGGAUGUAGCUCAGUGGUAGAGCACUUGCCUAGCAUGCAACAAGCCAUGGGUUCAAUCCCCAGCACCCCCG
rnacentral:tRNA from 1 species